GUUUAUAUUGUCAUAUCAGUAUCUAAUGUAGACCUGUUUAUAUUUCAGGAUAACUCCUUGUAUAGGUCAAUGUUUCAAAACAGCGUCAAAAUGGGGAAUAAAACUAUUUCACACUUUAGGUGCUUUUGUUAUUAGUUACACACAAUAUGUUCUUUAAGCCACACGUGAGGUAUCUUUUAUUCAUAAGAGAACACAAGUCGGUUUCCACGGUUUCCAUGGAUAGCGUUUAUUAAAUAUUAAAGCACAUGGUGUCGAAUUGACACGUUCGUGCCACAAGCCCUUUAUCUGAAGAUCAGGCAAGACCUUUAAUGUCAGGGCAAUGCACUUUACCUGUGGCACAGUCUAAUUUCAGUCAAACAAAAGCUGUAUGAUGUAGAUUUUCUGAGUGCAAAAUGGAGCGACGCACAUCCACGGCUGAGGAGGACCGAGCCGAGAGGAGAGUGAGGUUCCGCGUGGCGUCCGCGCACAGCGGCCGCGUUCUGAAGGAGGUGUUCAGGGAGCAGGUGCUCGAAGACUGCGCGGACACGGACACCACUGUGAGCUCAGAGCCGGAGCGUGCGACCUCGCCUGUCAUCACGGAGGCAAACAGCCAUCUGAGCGGCCUGGUGGGGCAAGAACCGGACGACAGCGGCAGCGAACCGGACGAGCUGCUCAUGUACGCUAGUGCAACCAAGGACAAGAUUUUCACUGGUAAACGCGUGAACAUCUUCAGUAAGAACGGAACUAUUCGGGGCGUGAGAGACAAAGUGAGCGCGGGACAGGUGUUGUUUAACAACCUGUCCAAAAUGUAUGGGGUAAGUUUUAUUUGGAGCAAUAUAAUUACAUUUAUUAGUGUAGGCUAUAAUACAGCUGUGAAAAGAUUUUUCUGUAGGUCUAAGAGAAGAAAAGGAGAUUGCAAUAGCUGGAAAAAGGAACCCAAUCACCCUUGUUAAACCAUUCAGGAUUAAUGACCGACUAAUUGCUGUAAGAAAGACGCUAUGUUUACAAAAGACCAGGAUUCGCUUAUUAUGAACCGCCCUAAAAGACCAUGAGAUUUUGUCUGAAAACAGCUUUGGAUGUCGUGCAGCAGAGGAU